AAGUGCUUCCAUGUUUUAGUAG
rnacentral:miRNA from 1 species